rnacentral:rRNA from 1 species
AAAAAAUAGAGAGAGUAAGAGCUGGGUAAGACGGGUGCCAGCCGCCGCGGUAAUACCUGCAGCUCAAGUGGUGGCCGCUAUUAUUGGGCCUAAAACGUCCGUAGCCGGCUUAGUAAAUGCCUGGGUAAAUUGUGUAGCUUAACUAUACGAAUACCGGGUAGACUGCUAAACUUGGGACCGGGAGAGGCUUGAGGUACUCCUAGGGUAGAGGUGAAAUUCUGUAAUCCUAGGGGGACCACCAGUGGCGAAGGCGUCUAGCCAGAACGGGUCCGACGGUGAGGGACGAAGCCCUGGGGCGCAAACCGGAUUAGAUACCCGGGUAGUCCAGGGUGUAAACGCUGCUCGCUUG